CGUCAAACACCUUGAGGCGGUCCAGGGCAGCGUGGCCCCGCUUGAUCUUGCGGGGCAGCAUGCCUCGCACAGUCCACCAGAAGAUGCGGCCGGGGGCCGGAAGUGGUGGGGUGCCCGGAAGUGGUGGGAUCCCGGAAGUGGUAGGGGCCUCUGGAAGAGUUGGUGUUCACCAGCUUGCAGAGGAAAGCCAGGUAAUUCACCUUGUUUCUGUAGAAAUUGCCAGAAAGGUUGAUGCCUUCGCAGCAUACGACCAAGACCUUCCGGCCCAGCAGUACCUGUUUAGCCACGAUGGCCGCCAGGCAGCCCAGGAGUUGGCCGUGACUAUCCAGCACCAGGACCUGCCCCUCCACCAUCUUCGGCGCUGCCCUGGGAAAGCACGUAUCUGUUUAUUAAAGUGUGCACUGGGUUUAAAUAUUCUCGCAACUGCUUACAUAAAAUAAUAAUUGAAUAAAUAGAAUGCUUCCAUCCUCUGCAGCUACGAUUCUGGAAAUUGUCUAAUGGACUGCACUGGUUUUUCUGGGCAGACCUAGAAACACAGUCAUCUUCACAAGUUCUAUACCAGCACAGUGCCCGCACAAAGUAGAUACUCAGCAGACACUUGACCAUUGGAUAGAUGCAUAUCCUGGAAAGCUGCGGUUAUACAAAAAAAAAAAAAAGAAAAAAAAUGGAUCUCCUAGAGUCAGUAUCAAAGGUCUGCUGUUGCACUGAGGGGGAGAAAGAUGUCAGGUUGCCAUCUUGGCUGAAGGCAAGACGCAGCUGCAAGUGACCAGUAAUCUACCACAAGGUACUGAAGCAAGAAACGGCAUUUCUUGAUACUUGGAAGCAGGAGUUCCGGGUAAAUUCAAACAUUGCUGAAUCCAUCUGUUCAAAUUCGUCAGGAAUGGCUGCUGCCAGUCAACUCCGCCACCCUGUAUGAUACCUUUGCCACCAAGUGGCCCCAGGAAAUGAAUGCGGGACCCUACAGUGCCACAACAGUGAACGGGGAGCUUUGUGCCAGUAACUGGGAGUACCACACCGUGCUUGCAGCUUGAAAAACUCAGUACAGCGUCACACAAUUUGUAAUUGGCAGGCUCCAGCUUUCUGUGCUAUUAUAUCUGCUCCUCGAGGCUAUGUAGCAGAACAGCCGUGUCCCACGUUUCCUGCCAUUUCCCCAUGGUGACAGAGCUGCAGGGGUCCUGGGAGAGAGGUGCUCACAAGGUCCCAGAACCACUUCCCAGGGGUCCCAGGAUGACAGACAGAUUCGUAUUCUAAUGGUGAGUCUGUCAAUUGCAUUCUGCCCUAUGGCAGCCCGGCCAAGGGGAUGGCAUGCCAGAGCCAGGCGGGCAAUCCAAGUCAUGGUCAUUAGGCUCAAUAGCAGGCAGCGUGCUGGUUGCAUUCGUGGUGCCAGGUCCUGGCUCCCCUGUUGUGUGGACAGGAGCACAGUGGGCGGAGCGUCAGCCACACACUCUUGCCGGGGGGCGUGGUCUUGUGACUUAGUUGGGCCAAAGGGAUGUGAGCAGAGAUGGCAGAGCCCGCCCAAUCCUGAGUCCCUGCCUGAGGCACUGGAGCCAAACAUCCCAGCCACGAGCACAUGGUAGGGCUGAGGGGCUGUGCCCAGCCAGUGCUGCUUGUUGGGGGUGCCUCCAUUUCAUGUGUGGUCGUUUUAGGAACAGGACAUCAUCACAGCAAAAGCCUGACUCCAUACAGCUGAGAAGUCACCUUGGCUAAUGGAAAAGCUGAACUAGGGCUGUCUCCCAUGUGACGGUGGCAAAAAGCCAUGUGACUUAUUCGGGUCACAUGACAGCCCCCAUAACCCUGAUCUGAAGGUGGCUACGUGGCCAAGCCAGGCCCAGCAGAGUGCUCUGCCCGGUGUCGGCAGCAGGGCAUGUUUCUUUCUCGAAACCACAGCUGUAGGAGGUGGCAGCCUGGGCGCCCCGCUGCAGGGUGGAGUCUGUGGGAUAUCCGAGAAGAAACCACUUUACUCAUUAGGUGUAAAUGGCCCAGCGCUGGGGCCUACACGUUUCUCAGGACCUGAACACUUACUAGAGACCUUUGUGGGGAAGGAGAUGGUAUUGAUAACAAACUGAAAUUCCAAAGCCCGACACGUUUGAAUCAGUAUCUACAAAAGAUACCAUUAUGCCAGCGUCAUUAACAGGUGUAUCUAGCAUGCAUAGAAUGUUGUGUUUGUGAGGAAGUUGUAGGUUUCAUUUUCUUGUGUCACAGAAAUUCCCGAGUGUGUGGGAUAACUGCCGAGGACUCAUAGCCAGCAGUAGAGGGAGUAACUUGCUGUGGAAGGCCUCGGGGAGGAAGGCUUCAGUAGCGGGUAGCAGAGACCCCCUUGACGCUGGGUCACACCAGCAGGGAGGCAUUUUCCGCACAAAGCCAGACGUCUGAAGGGGAGACAUCACUCAGGUGGAUUUAGCUGGAGACAGCCACAUAUCCGUUUCUGAACCAAAUACUGGUAAAGACAAUGAGACUGAGAUUUUUAUGUAACAAAAUGCUCUGUACCCAGUGUCAUCCUAAGCACCUGACAGUGUGAAUUCAGUCCUCUUACAGCCUAUGAAAUGUCUGUAAUUAUCAUCCACACUCUUUACAGCCGAGGAAACUAUGGCCCAGAGAGGUGGGGUUACUUGCUUGAGGUUGCACAGCAUGUAAAUAGGCUACGAGUUUAACCCAAGCUGUGUGACUCCAGUAUUUACAUUAAUGCACGCCUCAUCCUUGUCUCUUGAAGCCGGUGGAGGAGACAGACGCAUCCUAGAGGCAGGGGUUGGAGCAGCUUCUCCUGAGGGGUAGACUGCUUUGAGCAUGGGGAGACUGCAGAGUGACACUGGAGUUCCUUUAGGAAGAACAGGGAUAGGUGCUGAGCGGGUCCCAGCACUGCCCUCUCCUCUCCAGCAGGUCCCAGCACUGCCCUCUCCUCUCCAGCAGGUCCCAGCACUGCCCUCCUCUCUCCAGCAGGUCCCAGCACUGCCCUCCCCUCUCCAGCAGGUCCCAGCACUGCCCUCCUCUCUCCAGCAGGUCCCAGCACUGCCCUCCUCUCUCCAGCAGGUCCCAGCACUGCCCUCCCCUCUCCAGCAGGUCCCAGCACUGCCCUCCUCUCUCCAGCAGGUCCCAGCACUGCCCUCCCCUCUCCAGCAGGUCCCAGCACUGCCCUCCUCUCUCCAGCCCUUCCUCCUCCCCUUCUGCUCUUACUCUUCUCCCUUUGCUGCCUCCCUGGGGAGGGGCUUGCAUAAACCGGGAAACCAAAUCCAGUAACUGCCCCUCUCCCACCUGUGACCCUCAUCAUCCAGUCUGCCUUGACCUUCGUUUUCCACUUCCCACACUUCGAUUCGCAUAAUAAAAUGACUUUUGCAAUGUCAGCCAUAAAUAGAUUAUGAGAAGAAAAUCUUUUGUUUAAACAGAAAUUCUAAUUUUCUGAAAGCUGGUGAAUAAACACUCUGGAAUGCAUUAGCGAUCAGCAAAUCUUGUUUGCUUAAAAUCACGCUUCCAUUUCUUUAUAUAAGCUGAAAAUACUAGUUCUAAUGUCCUUGCCAGAAGUUUCUUUGUAUCAGAGAAUUGGUCUUACCAUUUCUAUCUGAGUAGCUCAGAAGGUACUAAAAGUCCCUGGCUAGGUGAGAGGAUGCCUCUAACAGAACCAGGUGAGAAAAAGGCUCGCUCAGUGGUGCUGGGGCUCUUCUUUCUAUGCAGUGGCACAAUCCCUUCCCAGAAAAGCACUUUUGAAGGUAAGAAUGAGUUAUAUAUUGCCUUUACCAAUGAGAAGAAAUGCCCAUGGCCUGGGUCCAGGACGACUGAGCCCCGGGGUUAGAAGAAUCCCCUGGGAUUGCAUAGUUUUUGCUGCCAUCGAAGCAGAAUCUUUUCAGCAUUUCUCACCAGUGGCUCCAGUGUCUGCCUGAUCCACAGGCCAAGGAGGGGGUUCAGGAUGCUUGGGUCAGCAUCACAGAUGCCACCACACCCAGUCUAAGCAAAAUAGGGUCUCUUGCAAGCAAAAGCAGCAUCCCAGUUGCCUCUGCUUUGUAACACAGCACCCAAAACUGGGCAGCAUCAACAACCCUUGAUCCCUCCAGUGCAGGUCAGGACUCAACUCUUAAGGUGAGGCUUGGACACUGGACCAAAUGAGGGCUAGCUAAACAGGGACUGGGCAGAAGCACCUUUUUAUAAGACACACCUACUAGUCUUUCAUGUCAGUUUACUGUAGCCAUGGCAACACCCAGAAGUAACUGCCCCUUUCCAUGGCAAUGACCUGGUGACCCAGAAGUUACCCUUUUUCUUAAGAUUUCUGCAUAAUCCUUCCUUUAGUUUGCAUGUAAUUAAAAGUGAGUGUAUUAGUUCCUUUUCAUACCGCUGAUAAAGCCAUACACAGACUGGGCAAUUGACAAAAGAAAGAGGUUUAAUUGGACUUACAGUUCCCUAUGGCUGGGGAAGCCUCACAAUCACGGUGGAAGGCAAGGAAGAGCAGGUCACAUCUUACAUGGAUGGCAGGAGGCAAAGAGAGCUUGUGCAGGAAAACUCACACUUAUAAUAACUGUAAAUCUAGUGAGACUUACUAUCAUGAGAACAACAUAGGAAACACCUGCCCCCUUGAUUCAGUUACCUCCCACCAGAUCCCUCCCACAACACGUGGGAAUUCAAGGUAAGAUUUGGGUGGGGAAACAGCCCGACCAUAUCCAUGGGUAUCAAUGUGACUGCAGACCUGCCCCUGAGCUGCUACUCUCGGCGCCCUGCUCUGGAGGACCAGCCACAGAGCUAUGACCCUGAUGCCUCAGUAAGGCUGUUUUCUUCCACCACCAGCUCACUCAUAUUCUUUCCUGAGUGAAGCCCUCCGAGGCUAAGCCCCAGUUUGGGACUGCCUGCCCUGCAUUGGGAGAUUUGUGUAGGGCAAAGCAGAAAGGGCAUGUCCCUACUCCAGGGCUGGAAGGCUGCAGACCCCACCUCUAGUGUGACCAGUAGUUGAUCCUAGUGGUUGGCUGGGACCUGAGCUUGGGCUAUCAAUAGGAAUGCUACAUGCAGCUGCUGCGCAUUUCCCAGGCCUCCAUGAGAAGAUGUCUUGCAGGUCUCUGACUGCAGGGAGUGUAACAGCCCACAGCCCCACCUGCUGAAUCCUGAAAUCCACUAGCCACGUUUGCAGCAAGAACGUGCUUGCCAUAAGCUGCUCCCAGCCAGUGACUGAGCAUGGAAGAAACAUUGAGCCAGGCCCCUUCCUGGGGGAUGCAGGACUCCUCUGAUGGGGGACCCUGACUCAUAGACUCCCUGACAGCUCUGCCCUGACAGUCUUCCUGAAGACUGCACUGCAAGAGGAAUAUAACUCCCUCCUGCUUAGAUGUGGGCUGCAUGCCGUGACUUUCUUCCAGAGAGGGGACAAAAGAGGAACUUGAUUGAUUGAUUUUUGAGACAGGGACUUGUUCUGUCACCCAGGCUGGAGUGCACUGGCAUGAUCAUGCCUCACUAGCUUCACCUCCCAUGCCCAAGUGAUCCUCCUGCCUCACCCUCCUGAGUAGCCAGGACUGCAGAUGCGUACCACCAAGCCUGGCUAAUUUUUUAUCUUUGUAGAGACAAGGUCUCACUAUGUUGCCCAGUCUGCUCUCCAUCUACUGGCCUCAAGAAGUCCUCCUGCUAUGGCCUCCAAAUGGUCUAACAAUACAGGUGUGAGUCACAGCUCCAGGCCUACAAGGGUGACUUUGAAGUGGAAUAACAUGACAAACAUGACCCUGGCCAGGUAAACCAGGUCAACAUGAGUAAUGACAUUCUGUUCAUUGCGGGCACUCUUGUUAGAAUGUGAUAAGAAGGACAUGUUACCUCUGUUAAGUCUUUGUCCCCAAAACUCACAAUCCCAGUUUUGUAAGGAAAAUCAAACAAAUCCCAAUAAAGUAACAUUCUACAAAAUAACCAGUAUGCCUCAAAACUGUCAAGGUCAUCAAAAACAAGGAAAUUCUUUGAAACUGUGGUAAGGUGAUAUGUUUGGCUCUGUGACCCCACCCAAAUCUCAUCUCAAAUUGUGACCCCACUGUGUCACGGGGAACCUGGUGGGAGGUGACUGGAUCAUGGGCGCAGCUUCCCUUUGUUCUUCUCCUGAUAGGGAAGGAGUUCUCAGGAGGUCAGAUACUUUAAAGGUGGCAGUUUCCCCUGGGCUCUGUCUCUCCUGCCGCCACGUGAAGAAGGUACUUGCUUCCCCUUCUGCCAUGAUUGUAAGUUUCCUGAGGCCUCCCUAGCCACGAGGAAGUAUGAAUCAGUUAAACCGCUUUCCUUUAUAAUUUACCGAGUCUCAGGCAGUUCUUUAUAGCAGUGUGGAAACGGACUCAUAUGUAAGGGUUAUGAGAAAAUACAGGGUGUUUUGAGAACCUAUGAAAGGGAAGCUUCCCAUGUCUCAGAGGAAGGGAGCAUAGGAAAAUUUUACUGGGGAGCUGAAAGAGUAGUAUGGACAAAGACGGUGGAAAGAAGGUUGAAGCAAAGCGACGCUGUUAUUAUUGUUGUUGUGGUUUCAACACUUGCUGUAGUCUGUGGAACAAAAUGAUCGUUUUGUGUGCAGGCUCUUGGAACAACCACCUUCAGAGCUUCCAGCAACUCAGGGAAGACCUCUGUGCUGGAGCCCAGACAAGAGAAGGAUGCUUUAAGGAAAAGCUAGAGCACUGUGACAGAUGACAAAGGACCUUAUUAAGACCUUUAUUCUAAAAGACUCAGGAAGCCAUUGAGUGAGAGGUUUUUAAGCGGAGACAUAACUUACUAAGAUCUGUGGGUUUAUAUCCCACUCUGUGGUUCAUUUGCUUGUUCCACACCAGCCACUGCAAGGGACAUGGGGCUGCCCUAACCGGCUUAGAGUAGCCAAAAUCUGUCCCAGGGUUGGAGAAGGGGUCACUUUCCCUUGAGUCAUUGGGUGUUUUUAUCAAGUAGGACUUGGGUGUUGGUUGCUGGAAGGUACCAAACCCCAGACCUAGAGGGGAUUCCCAAAGACCCAUUGGAAGCCUCUGCAGGGCUCCAGAAGACAUCACUGAGGUGCCGUGGACUAGCAGUAGACAUUGGGAGGACUGGAUUAACUGAUAGGCAUUUGAUAGGUAGAAUCAAUAGAUUUUUUUUUUAUGGAUUGCCUAGCUUGGUACAAGAAAUUAAGGCUUUAUAUGGAUGUACUACACGGUUGUUUUCCUAAAUUCAGUUUACUAAUAAUCACAUCUCCAAACACCACAGAAAAUAUCAUUCUACUAUAAAUGUGAGUCUUCAGACAGGGGUGUCAGCAUUCCCUGUUAGUAACGUAAUACGAAAUUCCAUAAGAAGAAGAACCUAGUAACUUACCAAGGAUAUUUUCUACCCUCACCCACGACUUCACUACGUGUUCUAGUCUGAGCAUUUAGAAACGUUUCCACCCAAUUUGGAGUAAUAUUUGAUGAGAGAAAAAAAAGACAUUGUAUUCAUCAAUUUUAUGUGUAAUGAAAUUAUGCCACUUACGACAUCGAUGUGAUUAAAUAUAAAAUACAAAGUCUAGGUAUAAAGUAAAGCAUAAUGGCUUUUAUUUAACCUGCUCCAGUCGAAAGCCCAGUUCAGAUUUCCUGUGGUUUCUCGUCUGCAUUUCCUGCUGAGUCAUUCUUUCCAUAAACAACUUGUGAAAUGACAAAGCAGACAUUUGUUUAUCACUGUGGGUAUUGACAUCUUUUCUUGUAGAGAGCAUUAUCACGCUUAUUUUGCUCAGAAGUAAGGUGCCCUGCCUAUUUGUAUUAUUACCCCCAAAGUAACUCUGUAAUGAAUAAGCCCUCGACAAAUCAUGGAUCCGCUGUUCAUCUAUGCUCUUACUCUGAUAGGAGCCUCGUAAGUUCUUUGAAAUUGCUCUGGCCGGGCGCGGUGGCUCACACCUGUAAUCCCAGCACUUUGGGAGGCUGAGGUGGGCAGAUAACGAGGUCAAGAGAUCGAGACCAUCCUGGCCAUGGCGGAAUCCCGUCUCUACUAAAAAUACCAAAAAAAAUUAGCCAGGCGUGGUAGCACGCGCCUGUGGUCCCAGCUACUCUAGAGGCUGAGGCGGAAGAAUCACUUGAACCCAGGAGGCGGAGGUUGCAGUGAGCCAAGAUUGCGCCACUGCACUCCAGCCUGGUGACAGAGCAAGGCUCAGUCUCAAAAAGAAAAUGCUCUGUGCUGCUACUUGGAUACCCUUUGGAGUCAUACAUUCCAUUGUAAACCUUAAACUUCAUUUGGAAACAGUUUAACCCUCAAUUUAUCCACAAACUUCAAAAAAAAAAAACUGGGCAAUGUCCUGAAGGAAAUUACUACUGAAAUACGAGUGAUGUCUCAUAAAUGUGGCCACUUGAAAACUGGUAAGGACUGCUCUGGAAAUUAGGACGAUUCAAAUUCAAAGUAACCCAACAGUGACAAAAUGGGGUUUUUGUUGUUUUCAUUGUUAUGUUGUUGGUUUGUGGGGUUUUUUUUGUUUGUUUUUUGUUGUUGUUUUUGCCUUUCAGAUUGUUAAUGAUUUGCAAAGGGGUGGAUACUCUCAUAAUAUGCUGAUAAGAUGUGAAUUGGUUCACCCUUAUUGGAAGGUGUCAUAGCAAUAGCUACUAAAAUGUUUAGAAUGCACAUACCAUUUGUUGAAAUAAUCUUGCUUGUAGAUUAUAGAAAUACUUCUCCAUGUGCCUAGAAGCAGUAACUGAGGUGCCCUUGGUAGCAGUGGUUGCAAUAGGGUGAAAUUAUAAACAACCUACAAUCCAUUGAGAUUUAAAUGAAUAUUGGUGUAUAUCUGUUCAAAAAGAAUGAGCUAGACCUAUCAGACUGAUGACUGUUAUCAAGAUAUGCUGUUAAGGAAAAAUACGCUAUGUGCAAAAAGACUCAGAAGAUUUAAAAAAAAGAAAAAUACAGUGAAAAAUGAAUCAACUUCAAACCCAUGUUAGAGAACACUCUCCUAGGGAGGCUGCUAUUGGGGUAUAUAUUUAGCUAGGUGCUUAGAAAAGGGUCUGGAACUGCAGGAUCUGGUGGGUGCUCAGUAUGAAUGAAUACAUGGUUGAACCAAUUUAUGUUAAUAAUCCUUCCCGUUUGGUAUCUGCCUAUCUAAUUUCAUUCAUGGAGUUUUAAGCAAUAAACGUUAUUUUCAGAAUCUCCCGAGUAAUUGUCCUGGGAUGGGGUGAAUGCCCUUUUUGGUUGCCCAACUUGGCAGCUUUCUUUAGUUGGUCUUGAUUUCACUUAACUGUAGGCAAUGGCAGUUCUCAAACAAAAUCUUACCUUUCAGUGACUUUUCCCAUAGCACCCUUUUUCUUCUCUCCACCAUUCCCCUUUUCCCUUGAUGCUUCUUUUAUCAUCCCUUCCAUAGAGAAGAGCCCUAGGCAGGUUGCCUGUGGCUCAUAUUAUAAUAGGGCUUAUACUAUGAUGUCAUGAGGUUGCUGGGAAAUGAAGUAUCUUAAUGCUUGUAAAUCUUUGAGAAUGGUGCCUGGCGUAUUGCAUUGUGAGAACUCUGCAAGUGUGAACUGUCAUUGCUAAUUGUUGUUACUAGACUGCAAGCUACAUGAGGGUAGGAACCGCAUCCAUCUAAUUUACUAGAGUGAAAUGCAAAGUACGGUCAUAUUGUACCAGAUUCCUGUCAUCCUGAUAUACACGUCCCUCUGCAAUGUGAUUUGCCACUCCUGCUAUCCAAUGGUGAAGUCCUAGUUCUUGCCCUCUAAGGAAGCUAGUCUAACCUAACUCCCACCUGGUGGAGAACUGAGGCACUCCACCAAUACCCAGCACCAACAGACUCAUAUACAAGUGACCUAUAUUAGGACUUCCAGCCCAGUUGACCCUCUAGCAGAAUGCAUUCAGAUGAGCAAGCCUAGGCCAGCAGAAGAAUUAUUCAGCCAACCCACAGAAUCUUGAGUCAAGCAAUAUUAUUGCCAUUUCAAACUAAGUUUAUACACUUAGUACUGGGGUGGCUUAUUACCCAGCACAGAAUAACCAGUAUAUCUGCCAUUGUAUCCUCUAGGAUAGAGGAUCAAGGGCUGGCACUAGUAGAUGCUCAAUCAGUAUUUGUUGAAUAAAUGAAUGAGUGCAUGAUGCAGUAGGGAGGGGGAGAGGGAGAAGGAAAGAAGAGAAAAGGAAAGGAAGGAAGGA